ACUCAAUAGAUACCCGGGUAGUCCAUGCCGUAAACGUUGGGAACUAGGUGUGGGUCUCAUUCCACGAGAUCCGUGCCGCAGCUAACGCAUUAAGUUCCCCGCCUGGGGAGUACGGCCGCAAGGCUAAAACUCAAAGGAAUUGACGGGGGCCCGCACAAGCGGCGGAGCAUGCGGAUUAAUUCGAUGCAACGCGAAGAACCUUACCAAGGCUUGACAUAUGCGAGAACGCGGCAGAGAUGUCGUUCUCUUUGGACACUCGCAUACAGGUGGUGCAUGGUUGUCGUCAGCUCGUGUCGUGAGAUGUUGGGUUAAGUCCCGCAACGAGCGCAACCCUCGUUCUAUGUUGCCAGCACGUGAUGGUGGGGACUCAUAGGAGACUGCCGGGGUCAACUCGGAGGAAGGUGGGGAUGACGUCAAAUCAUCAUGCCCCUUAUGUCUUGGGCUUCACGCAUGCUACAAUGGCCGGUACAAAGGGCUGCGAUACCGCGAGGUGGAGCGAAUCCCAAAAAACCGGUCUCAGUUCGGA
rnacentral:rRNA from 1 species